GGCCAUGAAAGGAGAAAAGUCAUCAAGAAUGUGGCUGCUAACGAGAGGAGGGCAUCACUUCUGGAAGAGAUUCAGUUUGCCAAGAAUGUGAUUUUACCAUCAAACGAUGACAAAGAAAGGAAUGAAAAUGCUUUCCACCGACGUCAUUUGAUCAAGGAACGAUCAUCUAGUCAUAGAACCUCUUUGUUGGAUAAUAUCACCAUGGCGAUGGAAGUGCUACUUGGUGCCAUCGAAACAUCUGUUUGAGAAGGUGUACUGUUCAGUUUAACUGUGGAAGCUAAGAAAAGAGGCACUGAUAUUACCACAAGAAAAACUCAGAACUUUAUAUAUUUUUUAAUGAGUGCGUG